GAUGAACGCUAGCUACAGGCUUAACACAUGCAAGUCGAGGGGCAGCGGGAUUGAAGCUUGCUUCAAUUGCCGGCGACCGGCGCACGGGUGAGUAACGCGUAUCCAACCUUCCGUACACUCAGGGAUAGCCUUUCGAAAGAAAGCUUAAUACCUGAUGGUAUGAUGAGUUUGCAUGAUAUCAUCAUUAAAGUUUUAUCGGUGUACGAUGAGGAUGCGUUCCAUUAGGUAGUAGGCGGGGUAACGGCCCACCUAGCCAACGAUGGAUAGGGGUUCUGAGAGGAAGGUCCCCUGCAUUUGAGCUAAGGCACAGACCAAACUCCUACGGGAGGGAGCAGAGAAGAAGAUUAGGCAAUGGACGAGAGUCUGAACCAGCCAAGUAGCGUGAAGGAGGAAGGUCCUUCGGAUUGUAAACUGCUUUUAUAAGGGAAUAAACCCUCCCACGUGUGGGAGCUUGAAUGUACCUUAUGAAUAAGCAUCGGCUAACUCCGUG
rnacentral:rRNA from 1 species